GUUGCCAAGGUAAUAGAAGCACAACCACAGAUUGUUCAAAACUAAAAACCCUGGAACUGACUAUAGAGUCUGAACUUCUUUACUGCUAAGAAAUUAUAAUCGACUCUAUACCUCAUUGCCUGGCCUCUGCUCGCAGACAAGUCAUAUCUUCCAGCCACGCGAAAGGUUUAAAGUUAAUGUCAUAAAAUUUUUACUAUCCCAAUUAUACAGCACAACAACACAUUUCCAGAAAUUUACAGGGUUGUUAGUUCAAGUUUCCAGAUAAGGAAAUUGAUAAUAGAAGUGAAGAUGAAGGAUACCAACAUUAUUGGGAACAAUGUUUGAGAUAUUGAUCUAAUUAUUUCUCAAGUGUUAACUCAUUCAACCCAAGCAUGAAAGCACCCUGUAAGAAACCUGCUUGGUGAACUUGCAGCAGAAGAACAUGAGUACCAAAACUAUUUGUGUCUGUUCUGAAGGAGCCUCCCGAGGAGAGCAAACACUGCAAACCUCUGCUAGAGAAACUAUGUUUGAGUCCCAGUAUCCCAACUCUCCCACGUACUUGCUGGCUAUUCUGGGGUAAGUUAUUUGAUCUUCCUAAGUUUGCUUGUUUUGAGUACUGGGAUAAUAGAUUUAAUAAUUUGCCUAGUGUCAAUUACAUAACUUCUGAGACCACACUUGUUGCAGCUUCCUCAUGGUUCCCUCUAUGUUACAGAUGUUCAACAAAUAACAAUAAUAACUACAAGAAUAU
rnacentral:lncRNA from 1 species